rnacentral:lncRNA from 1 species
UUUACAAAUCUAAUCAAGAAAUGAUAAAUCGAUAGGUAUUGAUAUAUUGGUUGCUCAAAGAUGAAAUUGUUCAAGUUUUAACAAGGUUGUUUGUUGCUCAUUAUAUGCUACCUUGUCUAAUUUUGGUUCGAGGUUAGAAUAUCUUGAUAAUGCAUUUGAUAACCCUUGUUGAUUCUCGGGUCAAUACAUGAUGCAAAAAUCAAAU